rnacentral:tRNA from 1 species
GGGCGGUUAGCUCAGCUGGGAGAGCAUUUGCCUUACAAGCAAGGGGUCAGAGGUUCAAAUCCUCUACCGCCCA